rnacentral:rRNA from 1 species
AAUUCGCCCUUAGAGUUUGAUCCUGGCUCAGGACGAACGCUGGCGGCGCGCUUAACACAUGCAAGUCGAGCGAUAACCAUGGCUUCGGCCAUGGGGAGAGCGGCGAACGGGUGAGUAACACGUGAGCGAUCUGCCCUCGACACUGGGAUAGCCCGGGGAAACCCGGAUUAAUACCGGAUAGCCUCACGGGUCUACGGGCUCGUGAGAAAAGAUGGCUUCGGCAUUCGGUCGAGGAGGAGCUUGCGGCGGAUUAGCUUGUUGGUGAGGUAACGGCUCACCAAGGCGACGAUCCGUAGCUGGUCUGAGAGGACGAUCAGCCACACUGGGACUGAGACACGGCCCAGACUCCUACGGGAGGCAGCAGUGGGGAAUCUUGCGCAAUGGGCGAAAGCCUGACGCAGCGACGCCGCGUGAGGGAAGAAGGCCUUCGGGUUGUAAACCUCUUUCAGGAGGGACGAAGCUACUCGGGUUAAUAGCCCAGAGGGUGACGGUACCUCCAGAAGAAGCCCCGGCUAACUACGUGCCAGCAGCCGCGGUAAUACGUAGGGGGCAAGCGUUGUCCGGAAUCAUUGGGCGUAAAGCGCGUGUAGGCGGCCAGAUAAGUCCGCUGUGAAAACUCGAGGCUCAACUUCGAGCUGUCGGUGGAAACUAUCUGGCUAGAGUCCGGAAGAGGAGAAUGGAAUUCCUGGUGUA